CUCCUACGGGAGGCAGCAGUGGGGAAUAUUGCGCAAUGGGGGAAACCCUGACGCAGCAACGCCGCGUGAUUGAAGAAGGUCUUCGGAUUGUAAAAAUCUUUUAUCAAGGACGAAGAAGUGACGGUACUUGAUGAAUAAGCUCCGGCUAACUACGUGCCAGCAGCCGCGGUAAUACGUAGGGAGCAAGCGUUAUCCGGAUUUACUGGGUGUAAAGGGCGAGUAGGCGGAUUGGCAAGUUGGGAGUGAAAUGUCGGGGCUUAACCCCGGAACUGCUUCCAAAACUGUUGAUCUUGAGUGAUGGAGAGGCAGGCGGAAUUCCCAGUGUAGCGGUGAAAUGCGUAGAUAUUGGGAGGAACACCAGUGGCGAAGGCGGCCUGCUGGACAUUAACUGACGCUGAGGAGCGAAAGCGUGGGGAGCAAACAGGAUUAGAUACCCUGGUAGUCCACGCCGUAAACGAUGGAUACUAGGUGUGGGAGGUAUUGACCCCUUCCGUGCCGCAGUUAACACAUUAAGAUCCC
rnacentral:rRNA from 1 species